rnacentral:rRNA from 1 species
UACGGGGGGGGUAAGCGUCGUUCGGAAUUACUGGGCGUAAAGGGCUCGUAGGCGGCCAACUAAGUCAGACGUGAAAUCCCUCAGCUUAACUGGGGAACUGCGUCUGAUACUGGAUGGCCUGGAUUCGGGAGAGGGGUGCGGAAUUCCAGGUGUAGCGGUGAAAUGCGUAGAUAUCUGGAGGAACACCGGUGGCGAAGGCGGCAUCCUGGACCGACAUUGACGCUGAGGAGCGAAAGCCAGGGGAGCAAACGGG